GCCCUUGUAGAACAGUUGGUAGCUUCGUCGGUCUCAUAAUCCACCCGUCAUGGGAAAGAGUCAUCCGGAGGUCGCGAGAUCGAGACUCGCCGAGGGCA
rnacentral:tRNA from 1 species